CAUCUCCUCCUAAGAUUGGGCGUACGCUGAGAGGGGUCCUCCCUUAAUCUCUCUCUCUCUCUCUCUAUCUAUCUAUCUCUCCCUGGAGAAGAAAAUCUGCGUGUAUUCUCCUGGAAUUUGACUACGAAACUGGCUACCUGUAUGGAUUGAAGCAUCCAGUGCAUGUUGGACAAGCCGCAUCUGCAUCCAGAAGACCUCUCCACUGCAUCAUACAGAUUUUGCGGCUCCACGACUCCAUGGCAGGCAGGAGGCAGCAACAAUGGCUGAAGUUUGUCUCAUCGACAUAAUAUUUGUGCAUCAUAUGUAGCGUUGGCCAGAACAUGUCCUCUGCACCAAAGCAAGUUUCACGGAUCUCAGGUAACACGGAUCUUAGGGACGAUGGAAUUUAGCUGUAGGAGCAUUGGCCAUGCAGAAUUUUUUAGGGACCUUAUAGGACUUCGUUUUCAGGUCAAAUUAAUUAAUAUUGGACCUACAAGGUACAUGUCAUUGCUCGCAUGGUUAAUCUCGAGCUCUUAUGGCUGUUCCAUGACAGUUCAAUAUAUUAUGAGAUGUUGAUUGGUAAGGUAUGGUACAGUUUUUGUUGUCCAGUGCUUCUCAAAACAAAAUUUAUUGUCCAGUGUUUGGAUUUGUUAGAAGUUUGUAACUUCAUCUGUUAUUUCUAGAUAAUUGUGUUGCUUUCUCUGCUGACCACUGUUCAUUAGGUUAUCUCAUCAUGCAUGCAUGUAGGCUGUAUUCAACAUUCCAUCUUUAAGCCCGCUAGCAAGAGGCCUAAAUUAUUUAUGGUGUGCGAUGCAUGCACAAAAGCGUAGGUUUAAAAUUAAUCAGCGUCAUAGUAUGUACCAUGCCAAAUUUCCCAUAUUCAUUAAGUUUAUUAUCAUCAGUAACAAUUCAGUAGAAUUGAUAUUUCUAUGUUGAUUUAAUUUGUACAUCUCACAUAUAAAACAUCCUAUUUCAUAGUUAGCUCAUGGUUUGGCUCAGCUAGGAGAAAUAGAAUUUUGGAUGUGUUGACCUGCUGUUUCUUCAUGUGAAGUCCAAGUUGGCAUCCACGGUACAUGGAUGAAGAAGAAAACACUUUAUACAGUCGAGCCUCGCCACAAUCUUUUUUUGGAUCUACAGUAACGGUCUUCAUUGCUCGGGUGAUCCAUUGUAGCAGAUAUCGGACAUCUUGCAGAAGAUAAGCAGUGUUACAACCUGCUAGGAGAAGCAUAGGAGUUAUAAAAUCAAGGGAAGGGAGCAACUAAGGUUACUGCUAUGCAAUCGCCCUUAUUUUUCUCCCGCUUUGCAACUUCAUCAUCCAAUGCUAUGAAGUACAACGGGUGGAGGCAAACGUGGGCGCAUCAGUUGAUGGUGGUUGCCAUGUACUUCUCCAUCAUGCUUUCCGCGGAUCAAAGGAACAUACAGGCGAGGCCAGCGAUGGAGUAGAGCUGUGAUGGAAUCUCUAGAGAAAUUCCAAAAACAACUGCAUGUGCAUCCCGUGCUAUUCCCAGUAGAGGAACAGAAGUUUUUGAGAAUUGAGAUUAGCCUCAAAGCCCAGUGCUCAUGGCAAUGAACGUCCAGAAUUGCAGAUCGACUUGCAUACGCGACUCUGGGUUCUGUAAGUCAGCAAUGGAGAGGAGCCGUGAUGUAAUCUCAAGAGAAAUCCAAAAACUACUGAAUAGGAAGCCUAUGUUAUUUCCGGUGGAGAAGGGGAAGUGCCUUGAGAAUUGAGAUUAGCCAAAGACCGGUGCCCAGAUGGCAUGAGAUGUUUCAGAUAUCAUGUAAUUUUUUUUUUUGAAUUAACCGGAGAAGUUCUCAUGU